GAAAGUUUAGUACCAAUGGUGAUGCUAUUCUUUCAUAAAAUUACAUUUCUGUUGAUUCAUAUCACACUAAGCUCUUUAUGCAAAGAAGAAAUGGAAAACCACAAUAGACCAUUAGUUUUGAUGUUUGCUGUUACAUCUAAGCUUCUGCUGUGAAAUUACUUGUAGGGCCGAGAUGUCUGGUGAACGCAAACAAUUGGAACUUCAUACACGGCUUACUAAAACGGUGGUCGAAAUAAAUGGUGAUUGCCCUGAUCCAACUCCGGAAGAUGAAAAUAAAAAAAAUACUUCCCCAUGAUUGGUACAAUUGUUGUGGCGGCACCAGACUUCUGCUUCGUGGUAGUGAAAAGUUCUUUAAUAGAAAAACGUGGAAUUUACACAAUUAAUCGUGAUGGAAAAAGUAUUAACAUUAGAGCUGAAGACUUUAUUUUAUCAACUGGAACUUUGGCUGGGUUCUAUCUUUAUCACCACCAGUUACCAUAUGAUAUCGAGAAGGUGGAAGCUGUUGUAUUUGGUGAAGAAGUUGAAUUGUUUGAUGUAGUUUAUCUUUGUGACUUAACAUUUGGACUUACCGAGCUGUCCUUUGACCUCACAGAUGGUCAUGUCAUGUAAGUUUCUUUUCAUAAAAAGUUUCAUGUUGUUUUCUCCUAAAAUGUUUUGUGGAUCCUUUUGUGUUUCCAAUUUAUAAAUGUAUUUCUUGGUCCAGGGAUACAGAUGGAGUCAAUUUUGUCCAUAAUUUUGCUCAAAGCUUGCACACUGGCCAAGGUGCACCCGUUUUUUCUGGAAAGGGUAAACUUGUUGGCCUAUGUAUUCUGAACAUACAAGGCCCAUCCAUUGCUCUCACUGUGACCCAAAUAAAACAGAAUCUGAUGAGGAUAUACAAAACUAAGGUAUGUAAUACGAAUAACAUUGUUUACAUUUACCCUUAUUUAUUUCUAAUACAAAUAUAUUUCUCAAUUUCACAUUGUGGUUCUCUUUGUUUGCAGACACUCGAGAAAUUCUUUGAAGA
rnacentral:lncRNA from 1 species